rnacentral:rRNA from 1 species
CACGUAGGGCGCAAGCGUUGUCCGGAAUUAUUGGGCGUAAAGAGCUCGUAGGCGGUCUGUUGCGUCCGCUGUGAAAACUCGGAGCUUAACUCCGAGCCUGCUUCCGAUACGGGCAGACUAGAGGUAGGCAGGGGAGAGCGGAACUCCUGGUGUAGCGGUGGAAUGCGCAGAUAUCAGGAGGAACACCAACGGCGAAGGCAGCUCGCUGGGACGGUACUGACGCUGAGGCGCGAAAGCGUGGGGAGCGAACAGG